rnacentral:rRNA from 1 species
AAUCAACGCUGGCGGCGUGCCUAACACAUGCAAGUCGAACGCGAAAGUCCCGCAAGGGAUUAGUAGAGUGGCAAACGGGUGAGUAACACGUGGGUGACCUGCCUUCGAGUGGGGGAUAACGUCCCGAAAGGGACGCUAAUACCGCAUAACAUCCUGCCUUUGAAAAGGCGGUGAUCAAAGCUGGGGACCGCAAGGCCUAGCGCUGGAAGAGGGGCCCGCGCCUGAUUAGCUAGUUGGUGAGGAACGGCUCACCAAGGCGACGAUCAGUAUCCGGCCUGAGAGGGCGGACGGACACACUGGGACUGAGACACGGCCCAGACUCCUACGGGAGGCAGCAGUGGGGAAUUGUUCGCAAUGGGCGCAAGCCUGACGACGCAACGCCGCGUGGAGGAUGAAGACC